AAUUAUACCUAAUAAAACUGAAAAAGGAAAAAAAAAGAAAAAGAGCGAAGAGUGACAGUUUUCCUGGGUGGUUGCUGUUCUGUUUGCUGUAACCAAUCUGCAACAUUUCAGAAAAAGACAGUU